rnacentral:rRNA from 1 species
GACGAACGCUGGCGGCGUGCUUAACACAUGCAAGUCGAACGGAAAGGCCCUGCUUUUUUGCGGUGCUCGAGUGGCGAACGGGUGAGUAACACGUGAGUAACCUGCCCUUGACUGUGGGAUAACCUCAGGCAACUGGGGCUAAUACCGGAUAGGAGCUCCUGCUGCUUGGUGGGGGUUGGAAAGAUUCGGCGGUUGGGGAUGGACUCGCGUCCUAUCAGCUUGUUGGGGGGGUAGUGGCUUACCAAGGCAUUGACGGGUAGCCCUCCUGAGAGGGUGACCUGACAAAAUAAGACGGAGAUACGACCCAGACUACUACGGGACGGAGCAGUGGGGAAUAUUGCAAGAUGGGCGGAAGCCUGGUGCAGCAAGGCCACGCCCGGGAUGACAGCCAUCGGGUUGUAUACCGCUUUCGCCUUAGACGAAGCGAGAGUGACGGUAAUGGGUAAAGAAGCACCGGCUAACUACGUG